GCCGGGGUGGCGGAACUGGUAGACGCGCCGGAUUCAAAAUCCGGUUCCUUUGCGGGAGUGCCGGUUCGAUUCCGGCCCUCGGUACCA
rnacentral:tRNA from 1 species